AUUGAACGCUGGCGGCAUGCUUUACACAUGCAAGUCGAACGGCAGCACGGGUGCUUGCACCUGGUGGCGAGUGGCGGACGGGUGAGUAAUGCAUCGGAACGUGUCCUAAAGUGGGGGAUAACGCAUCGAAAGAUGUGCUAAUACCGCAUAUUCUCUGAGGAGGAAAGUAGGGGAUCGAAAGACCUUAUGCUUUUGGAGCGGCCGAUGUCUGAUUAGCUAGUUGGUAAGGUAAUGGCUUACCAAGGCGACGAUCAGUAGUUGGUCUGAGAGGACGACCAGCCACACUGGGACUGAGACACGGCCCAGACUCCUACGGGAGGCAGCAGUGGGGAAUUUUGGACAAUGGGCGCAAGCCUGAUCCAGCAAUGCCGCGUGAGUGAAGAAGGCCUCGGUUGGUUAAGUACGUCUUUCUAGUUGUAAAG
rnacentral:rRNA from 1 species